CGCAAGCCUGACGGAGCAAGACCGCGUGCGGGAUGACGGCCUAAUGGUUGUAAACCGCUUUUCUCUGGGAAGAUGAUGACGGUACCAGAGGAAUCAGCCUCGGCUAACUCCGUGCCAGCAGCCGCGGUAAUACGGAGGAGGCAAGCGUUAUCCGGAAUUAUUGGGCGUAAAGCGUCCGCAGGGGGCGCAUCAAGUCUGCUGUUAAAGGUCGGAGCUAAACUCCGGUAGAGCAGUGGAAACUGGUGCGCUAGAGGGCGACAGGGGUAGAGGGAAUUCCCAGUGUAGCGGUGAAAUGCGUAGAGAUUGGGAAGAACACCGGUGGCGAAAGCGCUCUACUGGGUCGCACCUGACCCUCAGGGACGAAAGCUAAGGUAGCG
rnacentral:rRNA from 1 species